rnacentral:rRNA from 1 species
CAAUUCUUAGCAACGGAUAUCUUGGUUCUCGUAACGAUGAAGAACGCAGCGAAAUGCGAUACGUAAUGCGAAUUGCAGAAUUCAGUGAAUCAUCAAAUCUUUGAACGCAAAUUGCGCUUGCUGGUUAACCCGGUAAGCACGCCUCUCUCAGUAUCGGC